ACGGGUCGUAAGAAAAUAGUCCAUCAUGGCCGACCAAGAAGAUGUUCAAACAACCAAGAGAUAUGUUAGUCCAAAGACAGAAUGAGGAGCGAACUUUUACCACUUAUUUGUGUAGAAGAGUAUGGUACCAGGGGUACAGCUGACUCUGAUUCCCGGCUUCUUCUAAUGAAAAAAGGCAGAUGAGGCACUGUAAUCCGAAUGUAAUCAAAAAUGCCAUUGUAUGAGGAUUGACCUGCAAUGCAUGGAAAUCAUCUAACACAACUGCAACGCCUACCUUGGAAAAAUGAGUGCAAGAUGGAAACAAAGCGUUCAGUGGAACAUCUUGUCAUCUCAAAUAUUUGAUGACUUACAUACUGAUGUGAAGUUGAAGAUAAAAGUCAUCUGUUGGUCCGUGAUUAUUAAAUAAAUCCGAACAUAUAUUUUAAAAGGGUAAUAUGGUAAAGGAUAUAUCUACGCUUAAAGUGGUUUUCCUAUAUUAUGGAGGGAAGAUAACUACAAAAACAGAAACAGAUGGCAUCGGCAGACCAAAUAAAGGAGAACUAUUUUGUUCAGUUCAAUUUUUAUGCCCCCUUUUGAAAAAAGUGGGGUAUAUUGUUUUGCACAUGUCGGUCGGUCUGUCUGUCUGUCUGUCUGUCUGUCUGUCGGUCGGUCGGAAUACCAAAUGGUUUCCGAUCAAUAACUUGAGAACGCUUUGACCGAGGGACCUCAUACUUGGUAUGUGUAUUGGUCAUCACCAGCAGAUGAACCCUAUUGAUUUUGAGGUCAGUGGGUCAAAGGUCAAGGUCAGUGUGACCUUUACAUGAAAAACGGUUUCCGAUCAAUAACUUGAGAACGCUUUGACCCAGGGACCUCAUACUUGGUAGGUGUAUUGGUCAUGACCAGCAGAUGAACCCUAUUGAUUUUGAGGUCAGUGGGUCAAAGGUCAAGGUCAGUGUGACCUUAACAUGAAAAACGGUUUCCGAUCAAUAACUUGAGAACGCUUUGACCCAGGGACCUCAUACUAGGUAGGCUUAUUGGUCAUGACCAGCAGAUGAACCCUAUUGAUUUUGAGGUCAGUGGGUCAAAGGUCAAGGUCAGUGUGACCUUUACAUGAAAAACGGUUUCCGAUCAAUAACUUGAGAACGCUUUGACCCAGGGACCUCAUACUUGGUAGGUGUAUUGGUCAUGACCAGCAGAUGAACCCUAUUGAUUUUGAGGUCAGUGGGUCAAAGGUCAAGGUCAGUGUGACCUUAACAUGAAAAACGGUUUCCGAUCAAUAACUUGAGAACGCUUUGACCCAGGGACCUCAUACUAGGUAGGCUUAUUGGUCAUGACCAGCAGAUGAACCCUAUUGAUUUUGAGGUCAGUGGGUCAAAGGUCAAGGUCAGUGUGACUGUAAGCUGAAAAAAGGUUUUCUGAUUGUCCAUAUUUUUUUAAUGCAUGCACAGAUGAUUGGGAUUGAUGUAUAAAUGUUUGUAUAGAAAUGAUUUUCUUUUAUGUUACUAUUUUAGUUGGGCAUUUAUUUGCCUUCUUAAGUUAUCAUAAGUAAAGUGCAUCUUAUGCAAUUUUGGAGAAAAUUUGCCUCAAGCUCCUCUAUCCACUAAGUGCCAUGUUUGUUUCAAACUAAGAUAGAUGAUCAUCAAGGAUAUAUUUUCUUCAGUAAAGUUUUAAAGUAAGAGUAUUGUUCUGAUAUUUGUCUUAUAUAGUAGACAGUAGAAAUUUAUAUGUCACUAAAUGCAUGAGUUGAAGUAUCAGUUUUCAGUGAACAUCUAGUUUAAUUAUGCCCCCCUUCGAAGCAGAGGGGUUAUAUAAUUGCUUUGCACAUGUCGGUCGGUCUGUUGGAAGACCAAAGCUUGUCCGAGUGAUAACUCAACAAUUCCCGGACCUAUGGUCAUCAAACUUGACAUGAAGAUUAGGUAUGACCAGUAGAUGACCUGCCUCAUAUGCAUCCAAUGACAAAUCAGCUGUCAUUUCAGUCCAUGCAUAUUUCAUUCAAUUGUCCAAAUAUUUCUGGCAACUUGGCGCUCAGGGGGCAUAAUGUUUGACAAACAUCUCUUGUUAAGACUUCAGAAAAUCUGUUAAUAGGGCACAUCCUUGCAAAUGCCAUAUUGUAAACUGGGCUCUUUUAAAAGUGAAAAGGUGAAAGUGGUCUAGAGGAUAAGCCUCAAAUUCAAGGUUGUGAGUUCAAGACCUCCAAGAUGCUUUCUCUUGACCUCAGGAAAAGGAUGUCCAUACUUGUUUCUACUUAGGCAACAGACUUAAGAGUGAUUUUGUAAGCUUCCAGCUUGCAUAGCAAUCUGAUAAGGCAUAAAAUAAGAUACUAGCUGACUUGCAAACAGUUUUUCCAUUUGUGUUGAUUUAUUUUUCAGUCUGUUGGAAUGUUUAUUAGAAGUGAUGCGCAUUGCUUACUGCAACCACAAUUUAUUUUCUUUAUUAAGUUAAAUUUAACGAACACAUAACAUGACUUGUGAUUUUACAGAUGCAUGUUUAUUUCGUUGAUUGUAUGAGUUUAUUUUCUCAAAUGAUGUAAUAAAAGUUAUUCUGAAUGACUGUCCUUUUUUGUUUGAAGAAAAUGUGUUGAGGUUUUGGCAUAGCAUAGUGUCAUCAUCAUCAUCAUCAUUGUUGUGUACAAAUAAAACAUUCAAAACAAUGUAAUUAAAACCAAACUGUCAAGCCAAGUACUCAAAGAGGCACAAGGAUAUUGCUAAAGAGACCGGUAAUACAUUUAGACAAAUAAAAUGCAAAGAAAG